GACGAACGCUGGCGGCGUGCUUAACACAUGCAAGUCGAACGGUGAAGCGCCUUCCUUUUUGGUGGGUGUGGAUGAGUGGCGAACGGGUGAGUAACACGUGAGUAACCUGCCCCCUUCUUCUGGAUAACCGCAUGAAAGUGUGGCUAAUACGGGAUAUUCUGGGUCUGUCGCAUGAUGGGUCUGGGAAAGAUAUUGUUUCGGUGGGGGAUGGGCUCGCGGCCUAUCAGCUUGUUGGUGGGGUGAUGGCCUACCAAGGCGGUGACGGGUAGCCGGCCUGAGAGGGUGGACGGUCACACUGGGACUGAGACACGGCCCAGACUCCUACGGGAGGCAGCAGUGGGGAAUAUUGCACAAUGGGCGCAAGCCUGAUGCAGCGACGCCGCGUGAGGGAGGGAGGCCUUCGGGUUGUGAACCUCUUUGGCCAGUGAAGCAGGCCUGCCUCGUUUGUGGGUGGGUUGACGGUAGCUGGAUAAGAAGCGCCGGCUAACUACGUG
rnacentral:rRNA from 1 species